GAGUAUUUUGUGAAGCCACAUGUAAUCUACCAACUAAAAUUUCUUCCAAUUUGAUGCAUCCAUACGAACAAACAGUAGCUUGACUAACUUCUUUUUUCUGCAAGCAAUGAAGUAAAACAAAACAUAGUCCCCACAUUUCAUUGGGCCGACUGCCGAGACUAGAGCACCUGAUAAUCUAAAGCAGCUCAGGAAGACCGUUUAUGCACGCAAGUAUGUUUGAAAGAGGGGAAGUUCGUGUUGGGUUUCCUGAGUUGGUUGCUAGACGUCUCCUUCCCACAAACACGACGAUUCCUUGGAUGAUAUUAAUUUGGUUCAAAUAUUAUUCAGACCUCACCACAUGCUAUGUCUACCUAUGGAUCGUUCUGGUGGCAAGACAAUGUGCAGUUUGAGGAAUCACUCAUUGUUCAGUCAAGGCUGGUGACACAAUAUCAGUAUGGAAAGAUCUCUGGACUAGAAAUGAUAUCCUGCAGUAUCAGUUACCUCAUUUAUUCUCCUAUUCGGAUCUAGAAGAUGUUUGUGUUGCAGAGUACUUGGAGAAUAAUGACCCAGCCAUGCGCUUUGCUUUGCCGUUGUCUCUGGAAGCUCAUGAGGAGCUGCAUAUCUUGGACGAGCAUGCCAAUAGUAUUCAGAGGGAGGUGUUGCAGCCAGAUGAAUGGCGUUAUGCGUGGGGAGCUAAGGAUUUCAGAGCACAGAAUUACUGGAGUACAAGUUUAUAUUCACACCUAUCUGUCAUGUCCCUUUACUUCCUAAGAUAUGGAAUACAAAAUGUAUGAUGCAGCACAAAGUUUAUGCCUGGCUUCUGACUAUGGAUAGACUCAAUACCCGAUACAUGUUGGUUUGGAGAAAUUUCCCCAUUCCCAAUGUUAAUUUUGUCAUCUCUCAGUUGCACAGGGAGACAAGUGACCAUCUGUUUUUGACUUGCCAUUUCAGAGCAUCCUGUUGGUCAGCUAAUUUCAGGGAAUUGUUUGGGACAUUUGAGCCUUGAUCUGAGUAGUAGAAUCUCGACAGCUGCACUAUUAUGGAAUAAUCAACUGUUUACUGAGUGUGCUAUCCUUUGUGCUUCAAACAUUUGGAAACAAAGGAACAUGAGGCAUUUUGAUAGUGUGGAGCCGAAGAUUCAGAGUUGGCUUGCUAUGUUUUCAGUAGAUUUUGAUAAGCUAGGAGGAGCCAGGGUUAAACCUGAGUUUGGAGAUCAAAUAAAAACUUUUGUAAGUAAGUUGAGAGUUUUGAGAUAAACGUGUAAAUAUGUUGUAACACACAUUUAUUUUUUAAUCAGUAUGAGCCUCUCAUGCUGCUAUAUUUGCUGAAAUAAUACAUACCGUGUUUGAGCUCGCCUAA